UACGAAGGGGGCUAGCGUUGCUCGGAAUCACUGGGCGUAAAGCGCACGUAGGCGGCUUUUUAAGUCAGGGGUGAAAUCCUGGAGCUCAACUCCAGAACUGCCUUUGAUACUGAGAAGCUUGAGUCCGGGAGAGGUGAGUGGAACUGCGAGUGUAGAGGUGAAAUUCGUAGAUAUCGGGAGGAACACCAGUGGCGAAGGCGGCGACCUGGUCAGAUACUGACGCUGAGGUGCGAAAGCGUGGGGAGCAAACAGG
rnacentral:rRNA from 1 species